CCUACGGGAGGCAGCAGUGAGGAAUUUUCCGCAAUGGGCGAAAGCCUGACGGAGCAAUACCGCGUGAGGGAUGAAGGAUUUUGGUCUGUAAACCUCUUUUCUCAAGAAAGAAGUUCUGACGGUACUUGAGGAAUAAGCAUCGGCUAACUCCGUGCCAGCAGCCGCGGUAAUACGGGGGAUGCAAGCGUUAUCCGGAAUGAUUGGGCGUAAAGCGCCUGUAGGUUGUUUAUUAAGUCCGUUGUUAAAGCCUAGGGCUCAACCCUAGAAAAGCAAUGGAAACUAGUAGACUAGAGUAUGGCAGGGGUAGAGGGAAUUUCUAGUGUAGCGGUGAAAUGCGUAGAUAUUAGAAAGAACACCGGUGGCGAAAGCGCUCUACUGGACCAUUACUGACACUCAGAGGCGAAAGCUAGGGUAGCAAAAGGGAUUAGAUACCCCUGUAGUCCUAGCCGUAAACGAUGGAUACUAGAUGUUGUGCAUUAUGUACAGUAUCGUAGCUAACGCGUUAAGUAUCCCGCCUGGGGUAGGUACGCUCGCGAGGUAGAACGUAAAGGUAAAGUUAGUACGGCGUGAGACGUGUCCGACGGCGACGACGAGGGGAGGUAGG
rnacentral:rRNA from 1 species